AGUGAACGCUGGCGGUAGGCCUAAUACAUGCAAGUCGAACGGCAGCACAGUAAGAGCUUGCUCUUACGGGUGGCGAGUGGCGGACGGGUGAGGAAUACAUCGGAAUCUACUUUUUCGUGGGGGAUAACGUAGGGAAACUUACGCUAAUACCGCAUACGACCUACGGGUGAAAGCAGGGGAUCUUCGGACCUUGCGCGAUUGAAUGAGCCGAUGUCGGAUUAGCUAGUUGGCGGGGUAAAGGCCCACCAAGGCGACGAUCCGUAGCUGGUCUGAGAGGAUGAUCAGCCACACUGGAACUGAGACACGGUCCAGACUCCUACGGGAGGCAGCAGUGGGGAAUAUUGGACAAUGGGCGCAAGCCUGAUCCAGCCAUACCGCGUGGGUGAAGAAGGCCUUCGGGUUGUAAAGCCCUUUUGUUGGGAAAGAAAAGCAGCAGGUUAAUACCCCGCUGUUCUGACGGUACCCAAAGAAUAAGCACCGGCCAACUUCGUG
rnacentral:rRNA from 1 species